GAUGAAGAACGUAGCGAAAUGCGAUACUUGGUGUGAAUUGCAGAAUCCCGUGAACCAUCGAGUCUUUGAACGCAAGUUGCGCCCGAAGCCACUAGGCCGAGGGCACGCCUGCCUGGGCGUCACACGUCGUUGCCCCCCCCCAUCUACUCCUUCGGGAUUGCGGGGGGCGGAUGAUGGCCUCCCGUGCGCCUCGUCGCGCGGUUGGCAUAAAUGCCAAGUCCUCGGCGACACACGCCACGACAAUCGGUGGUUGCGAAACCUCGGUUGCCCGUCGUGUGCGGUCGUCGCGCAUCGAGGGCUCGAAAAAAUUGCCGGGCUCCGGCUCGGCUUUCAACGCGACCCCAGGUCAGGCGGGGUUACCCGCUGAAUUUAAGCAUAUCAAUAAGCGGAGGA
rnacentral:misc_RNA from 1 species